AGUGGUUAGAGUGUAGAGGAGGCAGGUAGCCUAGUGGUUAGAGUGUAGAGGAGGCAGGUAGCCUAGUGGUUAGAGUGUAGAGGAGGCAGGUAGACUAGUGGUUAGAGUGUAGAGGAGGCAGGUAGACUAGUGGUUAGAGUGUAGAGGAGGCAGGUAGACUAGUGGUUAGAGUGUAGAGGAGGCAGGUAGCCUAGUGGUUAGAGUGUAGAGGAGGCAGGUAGACUAGUGGUUAGAGUGUAGAGGUGGCAGGUAGUCUAGUGGUUAGAGUGUAGAGGAGGCAGGUAGCCUAGUGGUUAGAGUGUAGAGGAGGCAGGUAGCCUAGUGGUUAGAGUGUAGAGGAGGCAGGUAGACUAGUGGUUAGAGUGUAGAGGAGGCAGGUAGCCUAGUGGUUAGAGUGUAGAGGAGGCAGGUAGACUAGUGGUUAGAGUGUAGAGGAGGCAGGUAGCCUAGUGGUUAGAGUGUAGAGGUGGCAGGUAGCCUAGUGGUUAGAGUGUAGAGGUGGCAGGUAGACUAGUGGUUAGAGUGUAGAGGAGGCAGGUAGCCUAGUGGUUAGAGUGUAGAGGUGGCAGGUAGCCUAGUGGUUAGAGUGUAGAGGUGGCAGGUAGCCUAGUGGUUAGAGUGUAGAGGAGGCAGGUAGUCUAGUGGUUAGAGUGUAGAGGAGGCAGGUAGUCUAGUGGUUAGAGUGUAGAGGAGGCAGGUAGACUAGUGGUUAGAGUGUAGAGGAGGCAGGUAGACUAGUGGUUAGAGUGUAGAGGAGGCAGGUAGACUAGUGGUUAGAGUGUAGAGGAGGCAGGUAGACUAGUGGUUAGAGUGUAGAGGAGGCAGGUAGACUAGUGGUUAGAGUGUAGAGGAGGCAGGUAGACUAGUGGUUAGAGUGUAGAGGAGGCAGGUAGACUAGUGGUUAGAGUGUAGAGGAGGCAGGUAGCCUAGUGGUUAGAGUGUAGAGGAGGCAGGUAGUCUAGUGGUUAGAGUGUAGAGGAGGCAGGUAGCCUAGUGGUUAGAGUGUAGAGGAGGCAGGUAGCCUAGUGGUUAGAGGAGGCAGGUAGCCUAGUGGUUAGAGUGUAGAGGAGGCAGGUAGUCUAGUGGUUAGAGGAGGCAGGUAGCCUAGUGGUUAGAGUGUAGAGGAGGCAGGUAGCCUAGUGGUUAGAGUGUAGAGGAGGCAGGUAGCCUAGUGGUUAGAGUGUAGAGGAGGCAGGUAGCCUAGUGGUUAGAGUGUAGAGGAGGCAAGUAGCCUAGUGGUUAGAGGAGGCAGGUAGCCUAGUGGUUAGAGUGUAGAGGAGGCAGGUAGCCUAGUGGUUAGAGUGUAGAGGAGGCAAGUAGCCUAGU